rfam:Desulfobacteraceae bacterium IS3 Ga0073107_10554, whole genome shotgun sequence.
AAAAACGCAGAUUAUGACGGUGAAAAGAAUAUGUAGAUAUAAGAGCCUAACAGGGAAUCCCGUGAAAUCCGGGAACGAUCCCGUCGCUGUAAUCGGGGACCAAAGCUGCAAAAAUGCCACUGUUGCACGAUUUCAACGGGAAGGCGCGGCAAGUAGGAUGAUCCGAGAGUCAGAAGACCUGCCUGAAAUGCAAAACAAGA